rnacentral:tRNA from 1 species
AAAAAGAUAAGCUAAUUAAGCUACUAGGUUCAUACCCUAUUUAUGGAAGUAAAAUCUUCUUCUUUUUA